rnacentral:tRNA from 1 species
ACUAGACAGAUGGGCCUUGAUCCCAUAAACAAUUAAUUAACAGCUAAUCACUCAAUCCAGCGAGCUUCUAUCU